UACGUAGGGUGCAAGCGUUGUCCGGAAUUAUUGGGCGUAAAGAGCUCGUAGGCGGCUUGUCCCGUCGCCUGUGAAAACCCGGGGCUCAACUCCGGGCCUGCAGUCGAUACGGGCUGGCUUGAGUGCGGUAGGGGAGACUGGAAUUCCUGGUGUAGCGGUGAAAUGCGCAGAUAUCAGGAGGAACACCGGUGGCGAAGGCGGGUCUCUGGGCCGUAACUGACGCUGAGGAGCGAAAGCGUGGGGAGCGAACAGG
rnacentral:rRNA from 1 species